CGAAAGCCUGACGGAGCAAGACCGCGUGGGGGAGGAAGGCUCUAGGGUUGUAAACCCCUUUUCUUUGGGAAGAACAAAAUGACGGUACCAAAGGAAUCAGCCUCGGCUAACUCCGUGCCAGCAGCCGCGGUAAUACGGAGGAGGCAAGCGUUAUCCGGAAUUAUUGGGCGUAAAGCGUCCGCAGGUGGCGAUUCAAGUCUGCUGUCAAAACCCAGGGCUCAACUCUGGUCAGGCAGUGGAAACUACAUAGCUAGAGUUCGGUAGGGGCAAAGGGAAUUCCCGGUGUAGCGGUGAAAUGCGUAGAGAUCGGGAAGAACAUCGGUGGCGAAAGCGCUCUGCUGGGCCGCAACUGACACUCAGGGACGAAAGCUAGGGGAGCG
rnacentral:rRNA from 1 species